AUGCUCUUCAUAUUUCCUUGCAAAUAAAGAAAUGGACUCUAAUUUUAUUUACUCUGUUCGUUUUCCUCAACAGUUGACAACGUAAACCAUGCUUACUUUCGGAGUUAAUUAUAUUUUUAUUCUUAAUUAAUAAUUAGAAAUUAGCUUUAAUUCACUCUAAGAAAGUAAAAACAAAAACAAGCACUCUUGAAAAAAAAAAAAAAAAAAAACCCUCUAGUUUUACCCUUUUCCAUUUACAAUGUUUUGAAACAUGCUCCGCACCCCUCAAGCGCCGUCGUUUUUGCAUCUCCAACUGACAGACAAACGAGAAAUACGGGGACCCCUUUGGCGGUAAAUUUAAAAGUUAGUUGUUGGGCCUCCGAACAACUACGAUUUCAGCUUUGAAGGAAGAUAAGCUGGAUUCUGAGUAGUUGACUCCACUGAACUUACUUCUCAGACAACCGCGUUUAGAAGCACUGCGAGAGGGUUUGGUGAUAUUAUUAGAAGAGAGGUGGUUGUUUAGAUAUGGCAAUGGCUGGCCUUUCUGUAUCAAACCAACUUGAGGCUAGGUGAGCUUGAAGUCAGAGAAAAGGAUCGUUGGGAAUUUUGAGACUUGUGAAUCAGCAGUUUUAGGAGUGCUUAAGGUGGAGAGGUGGCAGGAGCUGAGGCGGUCAAGACCACGAAGAGCAAAGCCUAAAGAUAAGACCAUCCUCCAAAAGAAAGCUUAUGGUAGUUUAUCUUUAAUACUUUAUGGAAUUGUUUCCUUCUGUGUAAAAGGGUAAAUUUUAUUGAACAGAAAAGGAUUAGAAGACACGACAGAGAGGAUAAGACAUCCUCCAAAAGAAGGAUGAAAAAUCAUAAUAAAAAUUCAGACCAAUCCCACUGAUUGUAAUUUUUCUUGUGAAUCAAUGCUGCUGUAUGUUGCAUGGCAGCGCAUGAUUCCAUGAUGUAUCUGUUUGUACAGAUUAUCAAUAAGUUCGAAUCUAAAUUG